GAUGAACGCUAGCUACAGGCUUAACACAUGCAAGUCGAGGGGAAACGACAUCGAAAGCUUGCUUUUGAUGGGCGUCGACCGGCGCACGGGUGAGUAACGCGUAUCCAACCUGCCCACCACUUGGGGAUAACCUUGCGAAAGUAAGACUAAUACCCAAUGAUAUCUCUAGAAGACAUCUGAAAGAGAUUAAAGAUUUAUCGGUGAUGGAUGGGGAUGCGUCUGAUUAGCUUGUUGGCGGGGUAACGGUCCACCAAGGCGACGAUCAGUAGGGGUUCUGAGAGGAAGGUCCCCCACAUUGGAACUGAGACACGGUCCAAACUCCUACGGGAGGCAGCAGUGAGGAAUAUUGGUCAAUGGGCGAGAGCCUGAACCAGCCAAGUAGCGUGCAGGAUGACGGCCCUAUGGGUUGUAAACUGCUUUUAUAGGGGAAUAAAGUGAGCUACGUGUAGUUUUUUGCAUGUACCCUAUGAAUAAGGACCGGCUAAUUCCGUGCCAGCAGCCGCAGUAA
rnacentral:rRNA from 1 species